rnacentral:rRNA from 1 species
UACAGAGGUCUCAAGCGUUGUUCGGAUUCAUUGGGCGUAAAGGGCGCGUAGGCGGCGGGGUAAGUCGGGUGUGAAAUCUCAGAGCUCAACUCUGAAACUGCACUCGAUACUGCUCUGCUUGAGGACUGGAGAGGAGACUGGAAUUCACGGUGUAGCAGUGAAAUGCGUAGAUAUCGUGAAGGAAGACCAGUGGCGAAGGCGGGUCUCUGGACAGUUCCU